AGGAACCCGUACACCCCCUGCUGGGUCACACUUCUCCACACUCCUCCUGCCUUUGUCUGACUUAUCAGACAGGAUAAAGUCAUUUUUAAAUGGAGCAAAGCUUAAUGGUUUUUGAGGUACCCACCAGCUUUUAUCUGUGAAAAGCCCUGGAAAAUCUCCCCCACCCACAAAUACUUAACAGAGAGUGAAAUGGAGGCACAGAAGUAGAUCAGAUAAAGUGAGAGCUGAGGAGCUUCGGGCUCACAGGACAUCAUCACCCUGGAGAAAAGAGCAGCUAGUCAUUCUCCUAGAGGAGCACAAACACACACAUUCUGAAAGGAGAGAGUAAAGAGGAAAAGCUGUAGGCUGGGAGCAGAGUCACUGGGUCAGGAGCUGGAGGAAGCCACAUCACAUGCGUCAUUUAAAAGCAAACUUGAAGCAAAAGGCACUUGAAAACUCACCAUGGGGAACAAUCAUGCUCAGGGCAGUAAAUAACUGACUUUGUCUUGUU